rnacentral:misc_RNA from 1 species
CUGUUCGAGCGUCACUUCAACCCUCAAGCUCUGCUUGGUAUUGGGCCGCGCCAGCAAUGGCCGGCCUUAAAAUCAGUGGCGGCGCCGCUGGGCCCUGAGCGUAGUAAUACUCCUCGCUACUGGGUCCCGGUGGAUGCUUGCCAUAACCUAAACUUUCUAUGGUUGACCUCGGAUCAGGUAGGGAUACCCGCUGAACUUAA